UGCCCAUAUCUGUGCGCCUCUUUCGCCGCGGCUCAGUUGGCGCCUGGGACAAACAUCCAUCCGUGAUUUUUCUGGCCAGGGUUAGGGUCCCCCCCCCCCUCCCCCCGGCGGAUACUCUGAUAGCGAAUCAUCUCGGAUAAAAGAAUUCCCGGUGAUCGAGGCUACCAUGUGCCGCGUCAACAAUCUCACCGGCCUUCUGAAUCGAUCACAGUGUCAAUUGUCAGGUAAGCAAGCUUUGAGCUUUCCAACAUUUGGUUUCUGGAUCCCUCUCUCUCUCUCUGUAUUUUUUUCCCCUUCCCUGCAGUUUUGAUUGUUCCAAUAGUUGACAAAUGCAUGGUUAAUUAUGGCUGAUCUUGUAGAUGUCAACAGUCUCUUGUCCUGGUUUGGUCCUUUUCACUUUCACUUUGGUCAGCACUAGGAGCGUGAGUAGUUAGAUUGAUGCUUGGUUUGCAUGGUGAUACUAUACUAGAUCCUGGUCAAUUCGCGAUUUCUGGGAAUACAUAGGACACAACAACAACAAAAAUCAAAUAUUAUUAUCAUAUAUAAUUACUCUUAAGGAACAUGUAUAACUGAGUCGAGAAUGAAUUGGAUGGACGCUUUUCCUUUUAAUGUGAUCAUAAUUUCUUUGUAUA